UUCCUACUUGUUUGGAACCCUUAACUGC
rnacentral:piRNA from 1 species